ACCUGAAACCCUGCACUUACAAGCUGUGGAAGCACAUUUCUUGUGUGACCGCGUACUUUUUGUAGAACGGGCCAACGAGUUACGUUAAGUAGCAAGGUUAAGUACUUAAGGUGCGGAGCCGUAGCGAAAGCGAGUUUUAACUGAGCGUUCAGUUACUUGACGUAGACCCGAAACCGGGCGACCUACCCAUGAGCAGGAUGAAGCG
rnacentral:rRNA from 1 species